AACUAAUUUUCUUUGAAUUGACAUGUCUGUUAUAUAUUAUUUCUGUUUUAUUUUGCUUUCAUUUUUGGUUCCUAGUGUGUAAAAAGCCAUCUUCAUCUAUGAAUAUUUGUUUUCCUUUGUUUUUUAAUUGUAUUUUAUUUUGGUGGGGAAGCUUUUAUUUUCUUACUUCCUGUUUUUGCGUUAUAUCCUGUGUGUUCCCGCUGCCCUCCUCAGUUCGCGCCAAGCUGCGCUGGGGAGAGGGUGUUUGUGGAGAAUCCGGAGCCCAGGAGCUGCUGUUUAAAAUGUUCUUGUUUUGAACAGGAAUAAAAUUAUCCUGAAUCCUGAUUC